GGCGGGUAUCAGCGACAACAUUGGCCAUCCUAUUUGGAGGCCUCAUUUUGGUGUCAUUGUUGGUGGAGACAAGCGCGAAACCGCCGUCUCCGGGGAGUAGUGUUCUUGGUGUUGGGGGUAGAAGGAUGAUGAUCAAUGGAGGACUAGUUCACAGUCACAGGAGCUUGGAAGAUUUCAAUGCUGGUGAUGCUUUCAGCAGCAUGAAGAGGAGGGUGCCAAAUGGACCAGAUCCAAUCCACAACAGAGGAACUGGAGAAUCAGGAAGAUCACCAGGCCGAGCGUAGGUAGCACGCGCCCCGAUCGAUGGAAGCUUCCGAAGCACUUCUGUGGAUUAGAUCAUUGUGUUGGAAGAAAGGGAGGGAAAAACAGGAGUUCAGCAUUUGUGGUGGGUCUCUUGCAGGAUGCUGGUGUAACUAGGGGAAGGUGGCCUAUGCUGUUCUAAGCACUGGUAUUUAAGACAAUUUUAGGCAUAAAACUUUAGCUUUCUUGAAAACAAAAGCUAUCCUACUGAUUGGGUUUUUAAAGAGAGCAACAUCAAGCUUCCAUCUCACAAAAUUCAGCAUCAAAGGUUCUUGGCAAAGGGAUAUGGGCAAGAGCUCCUUUCUUUCAGUAGUGACUUUGCACAUGUUUGUAGUAGUGUUGAUUCUUCUUUUUCUUUUAAGUCUCAUUUUUGUUGUAUUGAUUAGAAAAGCACAUUGCAAGUUUGCUAUAGAGGAAAAGGUAAAGAUAAGAUGAGCAAUAAUUUCCUGGCUUUGUUUCUUAUCUUGUGAUGAGAUGUGAAAUCCAUUGUAGUUUGUGCCCUAGAACCAAAGCAAGGUAGACCCACUUACUAAA